CUUCUUCAUCCUCCGACCUCGGUUCUAGCAUCAUGGCCAGAACCUCUCCACGAGGAAGUCAGUCAGAGAACCCGACCGACGACUCACGAUAGACCCCGAAGGUGUAGGUUUCUUCACUUUGGGUGGCAAACGUCGAACGGCUCAGGGAGCAAUACAGUAUCCCGGAGCAGUUCGAGCUCUUCGCCCCUAAGGCUGAGGGUCGGGUUAACAACCCACCUCCGGAUCAAGUGGCCUUCUAUAUCGAGGACCUUCGGGCAG
rnacentral:lncRNA from 1 species